rnacentral:rRNA from 1 species
UACGAAGGGGGCUAGCGUUGUUCGGAAUCACUGGGCGUAAAGGGCGCGUAGGCGGCUUUGUAAGUCGGGGGGUGAAAGCCUGUGGCUCAACCACAGAAUUGCCUUCGAUACUGCAUGGCUUGAGACCGGAAGAGGUAAGUGGAACUGCGAGUGUAGAGGUGAAAUUCGUAGAUAUUCGCAAGAACACCAGUGGCGAAGGCGGCUUACUGGUCCGGUUCUGACGCUGAGGCGCGAAAAGCGUGGGGGAGCAAACAGG